GACAGAGGGUGCAAACGUUGUUCGGAUUUACUGGGCGUAAAGGGCUUGUAGGCGGUUUGUUAAGUCUGGUGUGAAAUCUCCCGGCUCAACCGGGAGGGGUCAUCGGAUACUGGCAGACUAGAGCCGGGUAGAGGAAAGCAGAAUUCCCGGUGUAGCGGUGAAAUGCGUAGAUAUCGGGAGGAAUACCAGUGGCGAAGGCGGCUUUCUGGGCCUGUUCUGACGCUGAGGAGCGAAAGCGUGGGGAGCAAACCGG
rnacentral:rRNA from 1 species